UGGCUGUCGUCAGCUCGUGCCGUGAGGUGUUGGGUUAAGUCCCGUAACGAGCGCAACCCCUAUCAUUAGUUGCCAUCAGGUCAUGCUGGGGACUCUAAUGAGACUGCCCGCGCAAGCGGUGAGGAAGGUGGGGACGACGUCAAGUCAUCACGGCCCUUACGUCCAGGGCUACACACGUGCUACAAUGGUAGAUACAGCAGGUUGCCACAUGGUAACAUGGAGCUAAUCCCAAAAGUCUAUCUCAGUUCGGAUUGAGGUCUGCAACUCGACCUCAUGAAGCUGGAUUCGCUAGUAAUCGAAAAUCAGCAAUGUUUCGGUGAAUACGUUCCCGGGCCUU
rnacentral:rRNA from 1 species